rnacentral:rRNA from 1 species
AGUCGAGCGAAUGGAUUAAGAGCUUGCUCUUAUGAAGUUAGCGGCGGACGGGUGAGUAACACGUGGGUAACCUGCCCAUAAGACUGGGAUAACUCCGGGAAACCGGGGCUAAUACCGGAUAAUAUUUUGAACUGCAUGGUUCGAAAUUGAAAGGCGGCUUCGGCUGUCACUUAUGGAUGGACCCGCGUCGCAUUAGCUAGUUGGUGAGGUAACGGCUCACCAAGGCAACGAUGCGUAGCCGACCUGAGAGGGUGAUCGGCCACACUGGGACUGAGACACGGCCCAGACUCCUACGGGAGGCAGCAGUAGGGAAUCUUCCGCAAUGGACGAAAGUCUGACGGAGCAACGCCGCGUGAGUGAUGAAGGCUUUCGGGUCGUAAAACUCUGUUGUUAGGGAAGAACAAGUGCUAGUUGAAUAAGCUGGCACCUUGACGGUACCUAACCAGAAAGCCACGGCUAACUACGUGCCAGCAGCCGCGGUAAUACGUAGGUGGCAAGCGUUAUCCGGAAUUAUUGGGCGUAAAGCGCGCGCAGGUGGUUUCUUAAGUCUGAUGUGAAAGCCCACGGCUCAACCGUGGAGGGUCAUUGGAAACUGGGAGACUUGAGUGCAGAAGAGGAAAGUGGAAUUCCAUGUGUAGCGGUGAAAUGCGUAGAGAUAUGGAGGAACACCAGUGGCGAAGGCGACUUUCUGGUCUGUAA